CAGCAUUCUGUAGCGAUACAGGGUGUGGGCGCGUGGCGAACGGGUGCGUAACACGUGGAUAACCUUCCUUGAGGUGGGGAAUAACCCAGUGAAAAUUGGGCUAAUACCGUAUAACAUCGCGAUGGCACAUGCCGAUGCGAUCAAAGGCGCAAGUCGCCACAAGAGGGAUCCGCGGCCGAUUAGCUAGUUGGCGAGGUAAUGGCUCACCAAGGCAAUGAUCGGUAGCCGGACUGAGAGGUUGGCCGGCCACACUGGAACUGAGACACGGUCCAGACUCCUACGGGAGGCAGCAGUGGGGAAUCUUGCACAAUGGACGAAAGUCUGAUGCAGCAACGCCGCGUGGGGGAUGAAGCUUCUCGGA
rnacentral:rRNA from 1 species